CCUACGGGAGGCAGCAGUGAGGAAUAUUGGUCAAUGGAGGCAACCCUGAACCAGCCAUGCCGCGUGAAGGAAGAAUGUCCUAUGGAUUGUAAACUUCUUUUAUUUGGGAAGAAACCCCUCUACGUGUAGAGGGCUGACGGUACCAAACGAAUAAGGACCGGCUAACUCCGUGCCAGCAGCCGCGGUAAUACGGAGGGUCCAAGCGUUAUCCGGAAUCAUUGGGUUUAAAGGGUUCGCAGGCGGUUUAUUAAGUCAGUGGUGAAAGCCUACAGCUCAACUGUAGAACUGCCAUUGAUACUGAUAGACUUGAAUUUAGUUGGAGUAGGCGGAAUGUGUAGUGUAGCGGUGAAAUGCUUAGAUAUUACACAGAACACCGAUAGCGAAGGCAGCUUACUAAACUACGAUUGACGCUCAUGAACGAAAGCGUGGGGAGCGAACAGGAUUAGAUACCCUGGUAGUCCACGCAGUAAACGAUGAUUACUCGUUAUUGGCGAUACACGGUCAGUGACUAAGCGAAAGUGAUAAGUAAUCCACCUGGGGAGUACGGUCGCAAGAUUGAAACUCAAAGGAAUUGACGG
rnacentral:rRNA from 1 species